AGAUUGAACGCUGGCGGCAGGCCUAACACAUGCAAGUCGAGCGGUAGAGAGGUGCUUGCAUCUCUUGAGAGCGGCGGACGGGUGAGUAAUGCCUAGGAAUCUGCCUAGUGGUGGGGGAUAACGUUCGGAAACGGACGCUAAUACCGCGUACGUCCUACGGGAGAAAGCGGGGGACCUUCGGGCCUCGCGCCAUUAGAUGAGCCUAGGUCGGAUUAGCUAGUUGGUGAGGUAGUGGCUCACCAAGGCGACGAUCCGUAACUGGUCUGAGAGGAUGAUCAGUCACACUGGAACUGAGACACGGUCCAGACUCCUACGGGAGGCAGCAGUGGGGAAUAUUGGACAAUGGGCGAAAGGCCUGAUCCAGCCAUGCCGCGUGUGUGAAGAAGGUCUUCGGAUUGUAAAGCACUUUAAGUUGGAGGUAAGGGUUGUAACUUAAUACGUUGCAACUUUGACGUUACCGACAGAAUAAGCUACCGCUAACUUCGUGCCAGCAGCCG
rnacentral:rRNA from 1 species